rnacentral:rRNA from 1 species
AUUGAACGCUGGCGGCAGGCCUAACACAUGCAAGUCGAACGGUAACAGGGAUCAGCUUGCUGAUUCGCUGACGAGUGGCGGACGGGUGAGUAAUGUCUGGGAAACUGCCUGAUGGAGGGGGAUAACUACUGGAAACGGUAGCUAAUACCGCAUAACGUCGCAAGACCAAAGAGGGGGACCUUCGGGCCUCUUUCCAUCGGAUGUGCCCAGAUGGGAUUAGCUAGUAGGUGGGGUAACGGCUCACCUAGGCGACGAUCCCUAGCUGGUCUGAGAGGAUGACCAGCCACACUGGAACUGAGACACGGUCCAGACUCCUACGGGAGGCAGCAGUGGGGAAUAUUGCACAAUGGGCGAAAGCCUGAUGCAGCCAUGCCGCGUGUAUGAAGAAGGCCUUCGGGUUGUAAAGUACUUUCAGCGGGGAGGAAGGGAGUAAAGUUAAUACCUUUGCUCAUUGACGUUACCCGCAGAAGAAGCACCGGCUAACUCCGUG